UACGGAGGGUGCAAGCGUUAUCCGGAUUCACUGGGUUUAAAGGGUGCGUAGGUGGAUUGGUAAGUCAGUGGUGAAAUCUCCGGGCUUAACCCGGAAACUGCCAUUGAUACUAUCAGUCUUGAAUACCGUGGAGGUCAGUAGAAUAUGUCAUGUAGCGGUGAAAUGCUUAGAUAUGACAUAGAAUACCAAUUGCGAAGGCAGCUGGCUACGCGAAUAUUGACACUCAGGCACGAAAGCGUGGGGAUCAAACAGG
rnacentral:rRNA from 1 species